rnacentral:rRNA from 1 species
AACGAACGCUGGCGGCAUGCCUAACACAUGCAAGUCGAACGAGACCUUCGGGUCUAGUGGCGCACGGGUGCGUAACGCGUGGGAACCUGCCCUUAGGUUCGGAAUAACUCCCCGAAAGGGGUGCUAAUACCGGAUAUUGUCUCCGGACCAAAGUUUGAUCGCCUUUGGAUGGGCCCGCGUUGGAUUAGCUAGUUGGUAGGGUAAAAGCCUACAAAGGCGACGAUCCAUAGCUGGUCUGAGAGGAUGAUCAGCCACACUGGGACUGAGGCACGGCCCAGACUCCUACGGGAGGCAGCAGUGGGGAAUAUUGGACAAUGGGCGAAAGCCUGAUCCAGCAAUGCCGCGUGAGUGAUGAAGGCCUUAGGGUUGUAAAGCUCUUUUACCCGGGAUGAUAAUGACAGUACCGGGAGAAUAAGCUCCGGCUAACUCCGUG